rnacentral:lncRNA from 1 species
GGUACGAGAAUGCAAAAAAAUUCCAAGCUGAAAGGCUUUGUGCUCUGCUUGCUCCAGGAGAUAAUAGUGAGGGAUCAGCUGGGUUCACCAGACUCCACAAGAAGUUUUGUGUUCCAGCUGACUUCCUCCAAGAGAGCUGCCAGCAUGCUUUUUCAUCAGAACUAUGUGAAACACCUGAGUUCAUCGGGACUGAAGGAAAACAGUCUCAGAGACAAAGGACCUAGGAAUCUUUUCCUGCAAUUAACAUGAAUUCAUGAGGUGUGUGUUUUAAGAGCUACAUCUAGUCCUGUGAAAGCAGAGGUAUGAACCAGCAGUUGCAAUGCUAAUUACUGCCCAGUGAUUUGAGGGGACCUGCACAAUGUGCUAACAUGCCUAUGAUGACAUGCAGCAUGAUACAUGGGGAAAGGUGAAGGCAAGGCUCAUAUAUCCCCAUAACGCUGAAAGCAUAUUUCCCUCUCUAAUAACUUACAAACAGUCACCAUUUGCUGUCUGCAAAAUUAACCUCUCAUCUCCUCCAGCCUGCUGAUCUGGUGCAUAGAUAUAGGAUUUUAAGCUUCUCUAUUGAAAAAUGUCCCUGCAAAGCUGUCCAUCAGAACUCCCACUGCUUUCCAGAGAGUGUUAUUAAUAAGUUCUUCCUAUCAGAAAUGGGACCCUUUUAGAGCUCAGACAAGGUUUUUUUCCUGUUAACCAGCUGGGCUGCUUGGCUGUGGACAAAUGCCAUGAUGAAUGACGGGUCAAGGAUGGAGCAGGCUGAUUUCUCUCCAAGCCUGACCUUGUCUCUGGUGUGACAUCUGAAAUGACAGGUGCAUUAAAAAGUUAUUUAUGUAGGGGAGCUGCGAUGCAUUGUACCCUUUGCAAGGUAGCACCCAGUUUUGCAAGAGUGUUAGAAAAAAGGCUGCCCCUGUGUCUGCUGCCUCUUGCACUGCCAGCUUUCUGUAAGCAGCUGCUAUGAAAGCAGGAGGAGAAGUGUUGCACAUUUUUUAGCGCACAGAAGAUGCUCUGGGAAAUGAAAGGCAAAAUAGGGAGCAGGGUCCGAGAGCAGCAGCAGACGGCUUCCCAGCAAAUCACCUGUGUGUGUGCAGAUUGCCUGCCUGGAACAGCAGUAACCAGCUCUGGAAAUGCACCUGAAGGGUUCUGGGCUGUUGAAGGCCCAAUGUUGUGGAUAAAAUGCAGCACUGAAGAUUAAAUGACUUCUGCUGUUCAGCUCCUUAUGGCCUCAGUGCUCUUGUGAGACUUUCUCUUUUGACUC